CCCCUCUUUGGGGGGUAAGCUUUUAUAUAUAGUCUUAUGUUUUUUCAAGAAAAGCCUGUACUGCAGCUAUGUUAAUAAAACCUGUACCAGAAACCGACACAGGUAGGUGGGUAGAGAAUACCUAGGGGCGCGAGACAACUCUCUCUAAGGAACUCGGCAAAUUAACCCUGUAACUUCGGGAGAAGGGGUGCCUAGCAAUAGGUUGCAGAAACUAGGCCCAGGCGACUGUUUACCAAAAACACAGGUCUCCGCUAAGUCGUAAGACGAUGUAUGGGGGCUGACACCUGCCCGGUGCCGGAAGGUGAAGGAAGUCUGUUAGGCAGUAUCUUUGAUACUUUCGAAGCUAGCGACCGAAGCCCCGGUGAACGGCGGCCGUAUUCUGACGGUCCUAAGGUAGCGAAAUUCAUUGUCGGGUAAGUUCCGACCUGCACGAAAGGUGUAACGAUCUGGGCGCUGUCUCAGAGAUAGACUCGGUGAAAUAGACAUGUCCGUGAAGAUGCGGGCUACUUACACCUGGACAGAAAGACCCUAUGAAGCUUUACUGUAACUUGAAAUUGGGUUUGGGCCUUUCUUGCGCAGUCUAGGUGGGAGGCGUUUGAAAACAUUUUUUCGGGAAUGUUGGAGCCAUCAGUGAGAGACCACUCUUGUCUGGCAAAAAUCCUAAUGGUGCUCCUUGAAUCAGGACACCUGACAGUUUCAAGCCGCCAGUUUUACUGGGGCGGUAUUCUCCUAAAGAGUAACGGAGAUGUGCAAAGGUUCUCUCAGCCUGGACGGAAAUCAGGCAUAGAGUGCAAAGGCAAAAGAGAGCUUGACUGCAAGACCUACAAGUCGAGCAGGGGCGAAAGCCGGCCUCAGUGAUCCGACGGUGCCGCGUGGAAGGGCCGUCGCUCAACGGAUAAAAGUUACUCUAAGGAUAACAGGGUCAUCUCCCCCAAGAGUUCACAUCGACGGGGAGGUUUGCCACCUCAAUGUCGGCUUGUUGCAUCCUGGGGCGGUAGCACGUCCCAAGGGUUGGGCUGUUCGCCCAUUAAAGCAGUACGUGAGCUGGGUUCAGAACGUCGUAAGACAGUUUGGUCCAUAUCCGGUGUAAGCGCUAGAGCAUUGAGAGGAGCUUUCCGUAGUACGAGAGGAUUCGGAAGGACGCACCGCUGGUAUACCAGUUCUUCCCAAGAGGAUACGCUGGGUAGCUAUGUGCGGAGCGGAUAACUGCUGAAAGCAUAUAAGUAGGAAGCCCACCUCAAGAUGAGUGCUCUCACGAAGGUCAUGGCAAGAACAGCCGUUAGAUAGGCAUCAAGUGUAAGCUUAGUAAUAAGUUCAGCUGAGAUGUACUAAUAGACCGAUUGAGUUU
rnacentral:rRNA from 1 species